AAUAUUUGAAGUAGAGAAUGUGCUUCUACGUACAUUUUAAGGUCAUAAGAGAUACAGGAAAGGGUACACCUGUCAAAUAAC
rnacentral:ncRNA from 1 species